GCCGGGGUGGCGAAAUUGGUAGACGCACAGGACUUAAAAUCCUGGGCUUCCGCAAGGGGCGUACCGGUUCGAUUCCGGUCCUCGGCACCA
rnacentral:tRNA from 1 species